CGUCCAGACUCCUACGGGAGGCAGCAGUGGGGAAUAUUGCACAAUGGGGGAAACCCUGAUGCAGCGACGCCGCGUGAGUGAGGAAGUAUUUCGGUAUGUAAAGCUCUAUCAGCAGGGAAGAAAAUGACGGUACCUGACUAAGAAGCCCCGGCUAAAUACGUGCCAGCAGCCGCGGUAAUACGUAUGGGGCAAGCGUUAUCCGGAUUUACUGGGUGUAAAGGGAGCGCAGGCGGCCUGGCAAGCCUGAUGUGAAAUACCGGGGCCCAACCCCGGGGCUGCAUUGGGAACUGCCAGGCUGGAGUGCCGGAGAGGCAGGCGGAAUUCCUAGUGUAGCGGUGAAAUGCGUAGAUAUCAGGAGGAACACCGGUGGCGAAGGCGGCCUGCUGGACUGCGACUGACGUUGAGGCCCGAAAGCGUGGGGAGCAAACAGGAUUAGAUACCCCCGUA
rnacentral:rRNA from 1 species